CCUGUUGAUUUAGUUCAAAUUUGGCACUGUCAACCAUGUUGUGCUACGAUCGUUGGUCGCGGCGGACAAAGAUGGGGAGGGAGUUUUAGGCCGACGAAGACGAAGAUGUAGGUUGUUAGAAAUUCAUGAAGAUGAUUAUGUGUAGGGCUGUAAACAAAUAAAACCGCUCAUAGGCCACUCAAAAUUAGCCUUUGCUUAAUUUAUAUUUAUAUUUAUAUACUAUACAAACACUAUGGGCGGGAAUAGUGCCAGGCACCAGCCUGGCACAUACCCAUUCGCCUGAUUGGGCGGUUUGCAGUUUUUGCAAACCCUAAUUUCUUUGAAACGUAGACAACAUAGCUAGAGGCAAGAAAGAAACAGAGAAUAAGGCGGGAAAACAUCAGGCUCAAUCCUCCGGCAAAGAGAGUUCCGGACCCGGCGAUCUAAGGCGAUUGGCUUCACGAAUCUGCGACGAAGAGGGUGUGUAUGUGGUGUAGAUGAGAGUUCCGGACCCGGCGAUCUAAGGCGAUUGGCUUCACGAAUCUGCGACGAAGAGGGUGUGUAUGUGGUGUAGAUGAGUGGGGCGAUUUCUGAAGCUAAAGAAUACAACGGCAGGAGGCACUCCGGCGGCGCGUUUAAUGUUUUCCUCGGAACCCUAACAGUAGUUGCGGUGUCGGUCACACAAGUGUGAAACAACGGCGUAUGACGGUAACGAGGGACGGUUCCGGCGACUAUCGUUUUUUGGUGGCGUGCACAAACUGUAUGAGAGAAUGUGGCACGCUGGUGCAGAACUAAAGACCCGGUGAACAUGUUCCGGCAUGCGCGCGGCUCACACAGGUGGAAGAAAUUGGGGUAUAGAAUCGUGCAAACAACUAUCUGGUGUAUUUGGAGAGGCCGCAACGAAGUGGUUUUCAACCGAAAACAGAGGAAAACAUGAUUGACAUCGGCAACACAAAGAGGAUUCAAUACCUGCCCUAAGAAAGCCAGCCAAUAAACAAACACUUUUGAAGCUCAUCGCCUGGACACCAUCUGAUCAUGUAUUUUGCAGCCAGUUGAACACUUAAAGCAAAGGUCUUCUGUAACUAAUACCAUUCCAAGUAACCAACUGCAUGCCUUGCUAAAGCUUGUACUACUUUUGUCUAUUUCAGGUCUUUUGUAAGUAAACCAAUUGUGUGGCUACUAAAGUUUACUAAAUUUGAAAACACUUGCACAGCUAAAGCAAGUGUAUUUUGUAUAUAGCAAUAGUAUUAGCUGCUGUACUAA